rnacentral:rRNA from 1 species
UGGGGAAUAUUGCGCAAUGGGCGAAAGCCUGACGCAGCGACGCCGCGUGAGGGAUGAAGGUCCUCGGAUCGUAAACCUCUGUCAGGAGGGAAGAAUGUACACAGGGCUAAUCACCUGGGUAGUGACGGUACCUCCAGAGGAAGCACCGGCUAACUCCGUGCCAGCAGCCGCGGUAAUACGGAGGGUGCGAGCGUUAAUCGGAAUCACUGGGCGUAAAGCGCACGUAGGCUGUUUUGUCAGUCAGAGGUGAAAGCCCACGGCUCACCCGUGGAACGGCCUUUGAUACUGCAUCACUUGAAUCCGGGAGAGGGUGGCGGAAUUCCAGGUGUAGGAGUGAAAUCCGUAGAUAUCUGGAAGAACAUCAGUGGCGAAGGCGGCCACCUGGACCGGUAUUGACGCU